AUAUUCAUGAGAGAUCUCUGACGCAAUUGGGCAAGGGUGAGGAAAGCUGACAAAGAGUAUCCGAACUGUGGAUCUUAAAUGUGUAUUAUGAAUAACGGCGCUAGUUUAGGUGUCCUCCUGGGUAAGGUGGACAUCCUGAAGUUGCCACUGAGGAAGAAACAAGUUGGGAGGCGCACCAGUUUGCUGGCAGACAUUGAGUUUGUCACACCAUAACAAAACGAGAAGGCUUUGUGGGAAUGAGGCCCCAAAUCUGUAAUAGAACCUGUCGGAUGUGGUGUACUGCCUAGAUGGAGGAAGUCACCUAAAAGUAAGAAUCAGCAGCAGGAAGGUUCUGUCGAGGAGUUGAGGAACAGUAAGAGAACUGGAAUUACUACAGCAGCUGACAGCUCGGUCUCGUCUCCUUCUCACCAUCACAGACUGAAGGGAAGAACAUCAUAGCAUGUAAUGACAGACCUCGGCUUGCUACCUGCCAAUCAUUUGCUGGCCAAGGAACCCCAGUUCAUCUACUGCUUCCUAUGUCGCAGAUGGAAGUCCUGCAUUUUUGAAACUAGAAGCCUGGUAAAUGCUGUAAUCAUAAUGUGGUGAAAAGGCUGCGUAAUGAGUUAUUGAACAUCUUCACAGUAAAGAAGUGAGGCUGACCUUAUGCUGCAAGUAUCCAAUACUGAUAGCUCUAAACAUGCUUUCAGUCUUUAUUAUGGGCCUCCAGUUCUUAGCUGCACUGACUUUUGAAAAUGUGGCUUCCAGAAGCAGUUACCCGCCACUUUAGAGUAGUGCCUUUGCAACAUGAAUUCUUGCACCAUAUUCAUAACAUUUGAAUGGUGGUCUUCUGCUAUUUGUUUCAAGUGGUAGACGUUCUCCUUUUUAAUAUGAGUUCAUCACUGUAACUUGUCCUGGUUUGUGAUGUGUGAUGGAUAAAGAAAUCUAUAACAUAGUACUAAAAAUGUAUUGCUUCUAUCUGGUUGAGUCUGUUGCAUUUAGAUCUGCCAUUCACUUGAAACAAAUAUCCUUAUACUCUCCGUAGCUGAUGCCAGAAAAAACAUUGAGUAUUAGAUGGCUUAGUAGCAUACAUAGUGCAUUGUUGCUGCUAUUGGCUUCUAGCAGAUUCACACAAGAAUUGUCACAUGAGCAGAUUAGUAGACAGAUGAUUUCAACUUUUAAAGUCUUACUUUUCUAACGGGUACUUCAUUGUCUUUAUUGCAACUGUUUGCUUUUCCCUGAAUGAUCAGGUCCUCUAUACCCCACUGCUAACAGACAGCGGUACUACGCUGUUAUUUUUACUCUUUCUGUUAGGGAACUAGUCAAACAAAUGGAAACUUUCAGAAAUGCACUAAUCAUAACCCCUUUCAAAUAAAGGUGCAUGUUUAGUAAGAAACUAUCUUUGGAUGCAAAUUAGUGAGAGAAUUGUCAUUUUGUCUGCAAAUUUCCAUUCAUUGGCAUGUUUAUUAAGAAGGUGGUCUGUGUGCAGUUUUCUUCCUUUCUAAUGGCACUUGGAUUGUUAGAAUUGUCAGUCUUUCUUGACACAGUAUGACGACAACAAAGUUGCUAGUGACCCCCUGAUGAUGAUGAUGGUGAGGGAUCAACAACUGUCUUCUUUCUUGGGCGUCAAGACAGCUUUUUACACUGUGCCAAUUGGAUCCUGAUUGCUGGUCUGAUAGUGUACUGUGUGUGCUAACUGGUAUGGUCCUUGAUUGUUUUCUUUAUUUUUCAUGUCAUUAUAAGCACAUGGUGUCUUGCUCAAAGUAUACUGCUCACUUUCUGAAGCAUCUUUGUUUAAUAUUCAACAUUGAAAAAAAGUUUGUUUUUAUUUCACUGCUACUCCGCUUUCCUCUGUAACCACACCCACAAAUUUAUAUCCUGUUGCUUACUGGAGAAUGAUGUACAUACAAGAGCAACUUAUUUGCAUUGUAGUUUCACAGCUUUGUCUUCACGUGUGUAAAUUAUCAAUGCUAAGUAUUCACCUGCAAGACCUAACUGGCAGUAUGUCUUUCUAGGAAGUAAGAAACUCCCACUGAUGUAUAGGCUUCUGUAUGUCCAUGCUGAACACAUUAACUUGGUUUGUGAGGAAUUGUGCUGGUCAUGGCAAUGAAUUUCAGUUCCAAUAAAAUUUUAAGGGGCCUGUCCUUAUCA